UACGGGGGGGGGGCAAGCGUUUGUUCGGAAUUACUGGGCGUAAAGGGCUCGUAGGCGGCCAACUAAGUCGGAUGUGAAAUCCCCAGGCUUAACCUGGGAACUGCAUCCGAUACUGGAUGGCUUGAAUUCGGGAGAGGGAUGCAGAAUUCCAGGUGUAGCGGUGAAAUGCGUAGAUAUCUGGAGGAAUACCGGUGGCGAAGGCGGCAUCCUGGACCGAGAUUGACGCUGAUGAGCGAAAGCUAGGGGAGCAAACGGG
rnacentral:rRNA from 1 species